rnacentral:rRNA from 1 species
UACAGAGGUGGCAAGCGUUGUUCGGAAUUACUGGGCGUAAAGGGCGCGCAGGCGGUCGUUCAAGUCGCGUGUGAAAGCCCCCGGCUCAACUGGGGAGGGUCACGCGAUACUGAUCGACUCGAAGGCAGGAGAGGGUAGUGGAAUUCCCGGUGUAGUGGUGAAAUGCGUAGAUAUCGGGAGGAACACCAGUGGCGAAGGCGACUACCUGGCCUGUUCUUGACGCUGAGGCGCGAAAGCUAGGGGAGCAAACGGG